GACGAACGCUGGCGGCGUGCUUAACACAUGCAAGUCGAACGGAAAGGCCCUGCUUUUGUGGGGUGCUCGAGUGGCGAACGGGUGAGUAACACGUGAGUAACCUGCCCUUGACUUUGGGAUAACUUCAGGAAACUGGGGCUAAUACCGGAUAGGAGCUCCUGCUGCAUGGUGGGGGUUGGAAAGUUUCGGCGGUUGGGGAUGGACUCGCGGCUGAUCAGCUUGUUGGUGGGGUAGUGGCUUACCAAGGCUUUGACGGGUAGCCGGCCUGAGAGGGUGACCGGCCACAUUGGGACUGAGAUACGGCGCAGACUCCUACGGGAGGCAGCAGUGGGGAAUAUUGCACAAUGGGCGGAAGCCUGAUGCAGCAACGCCGCGUGCGGGAUGACGGCCUUCGGGUUGUAAACCGCUUUCGCCUGUGACGAAGCGUGAGUGACGGUAAUGGGUAAAGAAGCACCGGCUAACUACGUG
rnacentral:rRNA from 1 species